rnacentral:rRNA from 1 species
GACGAACGCUGGCGGCGUGCCUAAUACAUGCAAGUAGAACGCUGAAGGAGGAGCUUGCUUCUCUGGAUGAGUUGCGAACGGGUGAGUAACGCGUAGGUAACCUGCCUGGUAGCGGGGGAUAACUAUUGGAAACGAUAGCUAAUACCGCAUAAGAGUAGAUGUGCAUGACAUUUGCUUAAAAGGUGCAAUUGCAUCACUACCAGAUGGACCUGCGUUGUAUUAGCUAGUUGGUGGGGUAACGGCUCACCAAGGCGACGAUACAUAGCCGACCUGAGAGGGUGAUCGGCCACACUGGGACUGAGACACGGCCCAGACUCCUACGGGAGGCAGCAGUAGGGAAUCUUCGGCAAUGGACGGAAGUCUGACCGAGCAACGCCGCGUGAGUGAAGAAGGUUUUCGGAUCGUAAAGCUCUGUUGUAAGAGAAGAACGAGUGUGAGAGUGGAAAGUUCACACUGUGACGGUAUCUUACCAGAAAGGGACGGCUAACUACGUG